CCUAUCAGUACAAACCACUGAGAAGAGCCUGGAUUCAUAUGUUUGCCUUCCACCUCCCUUUAGAUAUUUAUGAACUUUUAUCAGACUUCCAAAGGAACAACUGAUUUUAAAUGAUUCUAGCUGUGCUAGACAAGGCUUUGUAGCAGGUCAUUUCCUUAGUGGACCAAGGAAUUGAUUUGAGGUUCCAUGAGUACCCAUUUAGGGUAUGGUCUACUACAGGGCAACACAUAAAUAAAAUUAUAACUGUUAUAUCUGGACAAUAGCUCAGAGUCUAACCUGUACUGACUUAAAAAUAAUAAUAAUAAUACUAAUAAUUAAAAAAAAAAUUGGCAAGGUUCUGUAGUUUGAUGUGGGAAAAAUAUGCCCAAAAUAUUUUUCUCAAGCAAAGCUGUACAAACUACCCUUCCAGUCAAUGGAAAAUACCUGGGUGGAAAAUGCAUUUCCUCUCUCAUAGAAAACUAGCAGUUUCUAAUUUCUAAUUUCUGCAUUCCAAAUCAGAAAGGAAGAUAGGUAUGUGAUAUUUUCAAUGAGACAUGAAUUAAACAAACAAACAAACAAAAAAACCAACAAACAACAAAAACCUUGUGGAAGAAACUCAGUGGAUAUGGAAAAGCUCAAGAAGCCAGGACUACCUCCCAGGCGGUGUGGCUAGGACAAAUAGCUGGGCAGUCCAGGAAGAAGACCACCUUGCUACUCAGCAAGGCUGGUGGCAAAUUAGCUACCAACCAGCCUUGACAUCAGGGAAAGCCCAGUCUGAAAUAGUUUACGUUAAUCCAGUGUGAACUGCAGUGGGAGAGGAAAUGCCACUGGGCACAAACUUAACUCCCUUUUCUUAGAGGAUGGAAAAACAAGAUUUACUGGCAAAUCACUUUGUGAAGAAAGUGGAAGAGAAAGGAUCAGCUAUGGCUUCUGAUGAGUACAGUACAUGACUGCAGACUAGUCCAACAGUCAUAAACCGUGUAGCAACCAAGGAAAGCUGAUGGGAAUGGCCGUGUGUUUCUAGUUUCUGGUUAAAAAAAAUAGAUUUAAGAAGAGCCUUGUUGAGCCUAGAUUGUCAGCGAUUCUGGAACGGUUUCAGGGAUAGGACCAAGGUUACUGAAAGCCUUUAAAAAAGUUAAGAACUCAGAGGAUGAAAGAAAAAAACUUCACAUAUUUUAAGAGAACUAUUAAGUCACAGCCUGAACUGGUAAUUGAGCACCUGGUGAAGAUGAGUGGUUGUCCCAGGAAGAGCAGAUGCAAGCAAUUCACCUGUACUUUCCACGUGACUGCAAGGGGUUGACCCCUCCCUAGGCUCAUUUAAGGGCUGGCUUCCAAAAGAACUUCUCCUGGAUGUAGGCUAUUUCCUGAGAUGGAUUGUUCUGUAGCUAGAUGUCCUUAUCAUCAGUCAGGUGAGUGAGCUUUUUCCUGUAUGAGAUUACUGAUGUUCCUAAGAAUGUUUUGCUUGGUAUUAUAAAGAAUUUAUCGGAAGCAAUUUCACUGCUUUCAAGGGUUGAUAUGCGUAAAGGUUGGUUAAAUGACAAAAAAAAAGAAGCAACAACAAAGCAAACAAACAAACAAACAAACAAAAAAAAAACAGAGGAAGGAGGAUCUCCAUGGGAUUUGUCCUGGGACUGUACUGAUCAGCAUUAAUAAGGGAAUCUAGAAUUGAGAAUGAGAAAACUUCAAGGUAUUUUCUGGCAAUACAGAUAAAGUUAUUCAGAAUAGCUGUGCAAAAUACUGAUUUCAAGAUAGGCAAAAUAUGAUAUUUUUCACCUCAUAUUGCGUUGUUAUGCUGUGAAGUUCUUUGCCGUGAGAUGUUGUGUUUGUUAAAAUGCUCAGAUAUAAAAAGUCAUAGAUGAAAGGAAAGCAAGAUCCAAGGCUAUUAAAGGUAGGGAUGCCUCUUCUGAUUCAGGAACUACUCAGCCACAAAUUCCUGGAGGCUGUGAAAAUAUUGUGGGGAAUUACUGUCAUAUAUUGCACUGUUCUCAGGAUCUUUCCAGGGAAUAUGUUUUUGGGCAAUCGUAGAAAAUGCUCCUGUACUGAUUAGAUGCUUCUCCUCACUGAAUAUAUUAAGGGAAGAUCUUUA